rnacentral:rRNA from 1 species
AGAGUUUGAUUCUGGCUCAGAUUGAACGCUGGCGGCGUGCUUAACACAUGCAAGUCGAACGCGAAAGUGGCUUCGGCCACGAGUAGAGUGGCGCACGGGUGAGUAACGCGUGGAUAAUCUGCCUCUGCAAUCGGAAUAACGACUGGAAACGGUCGCUAAUACCGGAUACGCUUAAGUUUUACCUCUUAAGGAAAGAUGACCUCUAUUUAUAAGUUAUCGUGCAGAGAUGAGUCCGCGUCCCAUUAGCUUGUUGGCGGGGUAACGGCCCACCAAGGCGACGAUGGGUAGCCGAUUUAAGAGGAUGAUCGGCCACAUUGGAACUGAGACACGGUCCAAACUCCUACGGGAGGCAGCAGUGGGGAAUAUUGCGCAAUGGGCGAAAGCCUGACGCAGCGACGCCGCGUGAGGGAUGAAGGUCUUCGGAUCGUAAACCUCUGUCAGAAGGGAAAAAUGUACAGUGCUCCAAUCAACACUGUAUUGAUGGUACCUUCAGAGGAAGCACCGGCUAACUCCGUGCCAGCAGCCGCGGUAAUACGGAGGGUGCAAGCGUUAAUCGGAAUUACUGGGCGUAAAGCGCACGCAGGCGGUUUGUUAAGUCAGAUGUGAAAUCCCCGGGCUCAACCUGGGAACUGCAUCUGAUACUGGCAAGCUUGAGUCUCGUAGAGGGGGGUAGAAUUCCAGGUGUAGCGGUGAAAUGCGUAGAGAUCUGGAGGAAUACCGGUGGCGAAGGCGGCCCCCUGGACGAAGACUGACGCUCAGGUGCGAAAGCGUGGGGAGCAAACAGGAUUAGAUACCCUGGUAGUCCACGCCGUAAACGAUGUCGACUUGGAGGUUGUGCCCUUGAGGCGUGGCUUCCGGAGCUAACGCGUUAAGUCGACCGCCUGGGGAGUACGGCCGCAAGGUUAAAACUCAAAUGAAUUGACGGGGGCCCGCACAAGCGGUGGAGCAUGUGGUUUAAUUCGAUGCAACGCGAAGAACCUUACCUGGUCUUGACAUCCACGGAAGUUUUCAGAGAUGAGAAUGUGCCUUCGGGAACCGUGAGACAGGUGCUGCAUGGCUGUCGUCAGCUCGUGUUGUGAAAUGUUGGGUUAAGUCCCGCAACGAGCGCAACCCUUAUCCUUUGUUGCCAGCGGUCCGGCCGGGAACUCAAAGGAGACUGCCAGUGAUAAACUGGAGGAAGGUGGGGAUGACGUCAAGUCAUCAUGGCCCUUACGACCAGGGCUACACACGUGCUACAAUGGCGCAUACAAAGAGAAGCGACCUCGCGAGAGCAAGCGGACCUCAUAAAGUGCGUCGUAGUCCGGAUUGGAGUCUGCAACUCGACUCCAUGAAGUCGGAAUCGCUAGUAAUCGUGGAUCAGAAUGCCACGGUGAAUACGUUCCCGGGCCUUGUACACACCGCCCGUCACACCAUGGGAGUGGGUUGCAAAAGAAGUAGGUAGCUUAACCUUCGGGAGGGCGCUUACCACUUUGUGAUUCAUGACUGGGGUGAAGUCGUAACAAGGUAACCGUAGGGGAACCUGCGGUUG